rnacentral:rRNA from 1 species
UACGAAGGGGGCUAGCGUUGUUCGGAAUUACUGGGCGUAAAGCGCACGUAGGCGGAUACUUAAGUCAGGGGUGAAAUCCCGGGGCUCAACCCCGGAACUGCCUUUGAUACUGGGUAUCUCGAGUCCGGAAGAGGUGAGUGGAAUUCCGAGUGUAGAGGUGAAAUUCGUGGAUAUUCGGAGGAACACCAGUGGCGAAGGCGGCUCACUGGUCCGGUACUGACGCUGAGGUGCGAAAGCGUGGGGAGCAAACAGG